GGGAUGCCACAUCCAGCCAUCCAGCGUGCAGUGCCCUUACAAGAAGGUGCCAUUCAUGUGGACUAAAUCAUGAAUGUCGCCUUCUUGAGAAGAGUAAUGUACAGCAUGUACUGCACAUGUGGUGUCCC
rnacentral:pre_miRNA from 1 species